GAUGAACGCUGGCGGCGUGCCUAAUGCAUGCAAGUCGAGCGAACAGACGAGGAGCUUGCUCCUCUGACGUUAGCGGCGGACGGGUGAGUAACACGUGGAUAACCUACCUAUAAGACUGGGAUAACUUCGGGAAACCGGAGCUAAUACCGGAUAAUAUAUUGAACCGCAUGGUUCAAUAGUGAAAGACGGUUUUGCUGUCACUUAUAGAUGGAUCCGCGCCGCAUUAGCUAGUUGGUAAGGUAACGGCUUACCAAGGCAACGAUGCGUAGCCGACCUGAGAGGGUGAUCGGCCACACUGGAACUGAGACACGGUCCAGACUCCUACGGGAGGCAGCAGUAGGGAAUCUUCCGCAAUGGGCGAAAGCCUGACGGAGCAACGCCGCGUGAGUGAUGAAGGUCUUCGGAUCGUAAAACUCUGUUAUUAGGGAAGAACAAAUGUGUAAGUAACUAUGCACGUCUUGACGGUACCGAAUCAGAAAGCCACGGCUAACUACGU
rnacentral:rRNA from 1 species